rnacentral:tRNA from 1 species
GCCGACUUAGCUCAGUUGGUAGAGCAACGGUAUCGUAAACCGUAGGUCGAGGGUUCGAAUCCCCAGUCGGCA